UCCUGGCUGGCUCAGGCGGUAGAGCAUGUGACUCUCAAUCUCAAGGUUGUGAGUUUGAGCCCCAUGUUGGGUG
rnacentral:tRNA from 1 species